UGAGUACGAGAUGCUACGGCAUCGAAGCAGUCUAUGUCAUACUUCCAAGAAAAGCUUGCACUGUCAUAAACAAAGAAUGCCUGUACCAUAACCGACACAGGUGGGUAGGUAGAGUAUACUAAGGGGCGCGAGAUAACUCUCUCUAAGGAACUCGGCAAAAUGACUCCGUAACUUCGGGAGAAGGAGUGCCUUAUUUCUAAGGUUGCAAUAACAAGGUCCAAGCAACUGUUUACCAAAAACACAGGUCUCCGCUAAGUCGUAAGACGAUGUAUGGGGGCUGACGCCUGCCCAGUGCCAGAAGGUUAAAGAAGUUGGUUAGCAUUAGCGAAGCUGAUAACUGAAGCCCUGGUGAACGGCGGCCGUAACUAUAGCGGUCCUAAGGUAGCGAAAUUCCUUGUCGGGUAAGCUCCGACCCGCACGAAAGGCGUAAUGAUUUGGAUACUGUCUCGGAGAGGGGCUCGGUGAAAUAGACUUGUCUGUGAAGAUGCGGACUACCUGCACCUGGACAGAAAGACCCUAUGAAGCUUUACUGUAACUUGAGAUUGAAAUUGGACUUUAUUUGCGCAGUAUAGGUGGGAGGCGUUGAGAAUAAUCUUGCGGGAUUGUUGGAGCCAUCAGUGAGAUACCACUCUUGUAAUGUUAGAUUUCUAACUUUGUAUCAUUAUCUGGUCAAAGGACAGUUUCAGGCGGGCAGUUUGACUGGGCGGUCGCCUCCUAAAGAGUAACGGAGGCGCACAAAGGUUUCCUCUGAACGGGUAGAAAUCGUAUCUAGAGUGUAAAGGCAUAAGGAAGCUUGACUGUGAGACCUACAAGUCGAGCAGGGACGAAAGUCGGUCUUAGUGAUCUGACGGUGCUGAGUGGAAAGGCCGUCACUCAACGGAUAAAAGUUACUCUAAGGAUAACAGGCUGAUCUCCCCCAAGAGUUCACAUCGACGGGGAGGUUUGGCACCUCGAUGUCGGCUCAUCGCAUCCUGGGGCGGUAGUCCGUCCCAAGGGUUGGGCUGUUCGCCCAUGAAAGCGAUACGCGAGCUGGGUUCAGAACGUCGUGAGACAGUUCGGUCCAUAUCCGGUGUAGGCGUUAGAAUAUUGAGAGGAGCCUUCUCUAGUACGAGAGGACCGAGAAGGACAUACCUCUGGUGUACCAGUUAUCGUGCCAACGGUAAACGCUGGGUAGCUAUGUAUGGAGUGGAUAACCGCUGAAAGCAUCUAAGUGGGAAGCCCACCUCAAGAUAAGUAUUCUCA
rnacentral:rRNA from 1 species